CUAGCCUCCAAGACAGCCCCGCCGCCAGAACAGCCUCUCCUCCAGGACCGGCCAGCCUACGAGAGAGCCCCGCCUACGGUACAACCCGCCUCCGGGACCGCAGGACUCCACCUCCGAGACAGCUCAGUCCCCAGGACAGUCCCGCCUCCGAGACGGCCCCGCCUCCAGGACGGCCCCUACCUCCGAGACCGCCCCGCCUCCGGGACCGCCCCGCCCCGCCUCGCCUCCGACACGUCCCCCGGGCGCCACUGCAGAGCCUGUCCGUCAGUCCCUAGGUAUCCGCACUGCUCAGGGGAGGAUUCCCUGGGAGCACCCACCAGCUGAGAUCUGCACAUCAGCCACAAUCCUCUCAGGACGGCGGAAAGGGAAGGGCUCAGCCGCCAGCCUGGCCACAGCCUGCAUCAUCUCAUCCCAGAGGCGGAGCACAGGCUCGGGGUCCUUCAGGGCCUGAAGGUUUGUGGUUGGCACUGUCAGGAUGAUGUUGUCCGUGGCCAGCUCUCCCCAGGGAGCCAGGUUCUCCUGCAUCUGCCUCUUCCACUCCUCCAGCGAUGUCUUACCUGGGAAUAAAUAUCAUGGAACCUACCACACCCACUUCUCCAACUUCCCUUGAGCUGAAAAAUACCAUUUGAACUCUGGAAGAACAUUGCAAUAAUGAACUACUAUCACAGGCGUCUAUAGGCUGUAAAGUGAAGAAAAGGCUUCCUGACUCUUCUCUUUGUCUGCCCUGAAGUCUCCAUGGACACAGGGUAUUCCGUAUCUUCUGCCUCCAUGUUCCCUCCCAACAGUUCUUCCUCUUUCUCUCCACCAAAGCUCAUCCCUCUCCCAUUUAGCAACCACCCCACAGUUCCCACGGCAUCUGCCACUCUUCCUCCUCCCUAAAUGUUCACUCCACUUACCCAGCUUGUAGUAUGGGGCAGGCACAGCUCCCCUGAUAGUGACAGGCACAGGGCCUAGUUGGCUGCCCUUGGGCACGAUGACGUAGAGGAGGCCGCCCCAGAGGCAGGAGACUGACCGCUCAGUCCUGUCCAUCCAGCAUUGGUGAGUCACCACGGGGGCUCGAGAUAGCUUCCUGGCCUUGGUAAGGUCAUCGGUGUGGCAGCCAAUCUGUACCUGGACAGGUGAUUCCACCAAGCGUUGGAGAAAUUAGAGUCUUUGUGAUGCUUUGUGAUGUGCGUGUGAGGUUGUGUAGAUGGAAGGUAUUAGACAAACAUGCCCAUGAAACCCCAGCUUCCCUUUUCUAUGUGCUAGGCAUGGAAACUUAUGAAAUUUUAGCACUCCAAAGUCAUUUGGACUUCAAGGCAUUUAAAAUCAUUUUUCUAAGGAUUUAAACAGCUCCACUAUAAGUCUUCACCUGACAUGAAUUGGUGAGAGACCAGGCUGAUCCUGGCAAAGGUCUUGUGUCUUUCUGCCAGGCAAAAUCCUGGGUUCUUCUAGCAGGACCUAAGCCAGUCUGGGGACGCUGAUAUUGAGGAUGAGCUGGGGGACUCUGCUCUGUCCUCUGUGAACACACAGGAGGCCCAUCCAGAGUGAGUGAGGUUGAUUCUCUCUCCCUCUUUGCCCAGAGCUUCCCUUUCUGGCCGCCAGAUGGGUGGAGAUCUGUUUUGUCUGGAGUCCUGGAGUUGCUUUUCUUAGGUUUGAUAUAAGCAAGCUCCAGAAAGAAUGCUGACAGAAAAGGGACCCUAGCUGUGGUAGGAAGUGGCCCUCAGAGUCAAGGAGGCAGGAUGAAUUUAAAUUCUGCAUGUAGGGCAUAUUUUGGGGAGUGAUGGGAUUAUGCACACCCUUCAGGUGUCAAGAUAAAGAGAUAAAACCAGAGUUUGUGCAGAAUGAGCUUGCUGACACACAGCCUAAAUUUGUACCGCAUGUUUCAUACUAACUCCCUCUGAGUUUGCACAUGGGACCCAUGAGGAGGCAUGAAGAGGUAACUGCCCAUGCCCGAGGAUUUUCCAGCCCUUCCUUUUCUUUCUAUCAAUCACCUACUAAUCACAGAAUCCACUCCCUACACCUUUUCUACUAAAAUAACUCUUUAAAAUAAGUACAAUGGGACAGAUUUGAGCUGGGCUCCUGUCUCCUUGUUAAUCAAAUUGCAAUAAAAUGUUUUCUUUUGUUUUUGUUUUUGUUUUUUUUUUGGUGAAAAACUCAAGUGUCAUAGUUUUGGCUUCUAGUCCAUUCUGCAGUGAGCUUCUCUUGCUUGAUAACACUAGGCACUUCAGUCACUCACUUAGAUGCCCUGAAAUUUAGCUGCUUCAUCUGUAAAAUCUGUAAAAUGGGCAGAAUAAUCCAUCUCUGUACUCCUGGCAGCAUUGCCAUGAGCUGGAACUAGACAGUGGAUGAGAAUGACACAGCUCUACGGUUUUGAGAGGUGGCAGAUGUGGGUGUUCAGACCUUACCCUCAGGCCAGCAGAGGCAGCAGCUUCAGACAGUGAGACUUCUGCAUUUUGUCCUUCCAGGAGGUAGAGCCCGGUACUCACCCAGCAAUCAUUGUUGCCUGACAAAAGUCACAGAGAAGGCUCAGUUCUUCCUUCCUAUGUAAAGGAACGGAAUGUUUAGUCUGAAAGCUUAGAAGGAAGAUGAGGUGCAGCAUGAAGACAAAAGCAAAAUCGGAAAGCUAAAACAGAGGAUUCCCUGGGAGCACCCACCAGCUGAGAUCUGCACAUCAGCCACAAUCCUCUCAGGACGGCGGAAAGGG
rnacentral:lncRNA from 1 species